ACGCCGCAUCUCCGCCCGGAGUGUAUCUAAGCGACUAGGUCCCGCGGGCCGCGGCUGCCGGGGGAGGGGACGUGGUUUAAGGCUCAAACCCACGGAUGGUCUCACCUCUGGAAACUCAGUGAGUCAGCCGGGGAGCUUUAAAACAACCUGCCGUGCAGACUUGCUGAUUUAAUUCACCUGGAGUGAGGCCCUGCAUUGAUUCAAGCUUCCCACGUGAUUCCAAAGUUGCGGGCUGAGUAGAGAAAGUCGUAAGAAGUUGACCUUGAAGUCCUGUCAUGGUUCCAUGCAGCGAAAGAGGACGCUAAUAAAAAUGAAAUUGCACCAGGAUAAAUGAAGAGUUGCAAAGAGAAGCUUGAAAAAGAACCAAAGAUAUCGUGACACCCUGGUCUAUAGCUGAAUGACAGAGAGAAAAUACCUAAAUAUCUGAAAGUAAAGCUCCAAUAGAACAGACAGAAGAUUCAUAUACUCAAGAAUAGUAGAUCAUGCAACAAAAUUCCUAAACUUAACACCCAGGACAGUUAAGAUCUAGAGAUGUGGGAGGCUGAAUAACGGCCCCAAAGACAUCCAGGUUCGUACAAGUACCUUCUAUGGCAAAAGAGACUUUGCAGGUGUGAAUAAGUUAAGGCUCCUGAGGAGACUAUCCUGGUAGACCCUAAAUGCAGUCACAAGUUUGCUUUUGAGGAAGACAGAGGAAGAUUUGACACAGAAAGAGGCAAUGUGAUUGUUGAAGCAAGAUGGUACUGUGCUGGCUUUGAAGAUGGAGGAAGAGGCCCUGAGUCAAGGAAUGCUGGGAAAGUCAAAGACACCGAUUUUUCUCUAGAGAAUCCAGAGGGAAUGUGGCCCGGAAGACACCUUAAUUUUGGCCCAGUUAAGCUGAUUUUACACUUCUGACCUCCAGAACCGUAAAACAUAGAAGUGUGUGGAUUUAGCCUACCACGUUUGUUGUAAUUUGGUACAACUGCCAUAGGAAACAAAUGCAAGACGUCUUCACUGUCCUGCCCAAGAUAAUGGGGCCAAGUUGAGGUAUAGAUGCACUGGAUCCCAUGUCUUUUGAUUCCUGUUUGAAGGAAAACAAGACCUACACUCCACUCUUCUAAUGCACACAUAUGUAUAAAAUUGAUAUAUGGCAAUAAGUGCUUUGUAGAAAAAUCAAACACCCUUGUCUUGAUUUGGGUUCUGGACAAGCGAGAAGAAACCAAAUCAGGAGAGAUGGGGUGACUAACUUGAGAUCCUACAGAUGGUUAUGGGCAGGUUCAUAACUGGAAUGCAAGAAUAUACUGAUUUCCCACCCAGUGUCCUUUCAUGCUGCAUGGAAUUAUUUUCAGUCCAGCAUUUGAGAGCCAACCAGAAAAGGAAAAGAGAGUCACUGCUGGGAUUGUAUAAGUAUUAAGAAGAUGGAUGGUGGUUUUGAAUGGGAAGGGUUAGGGGACUUUGAACUUUUCCAUAUAUGAAUAUGAGACAGUGGGAAAGGCGAAGUGGCAGGAGGGGGACUGGAGGCUCAUGCCAGGAGUUCAGACACGAGCCACACACAGCCAGGUGACCGUUUCCUGCCUCUCUGUUAUGAGAUGGCACUUAUCCUAGAUCCAAUGACAAGAGCCUCUCAUUUUGGGACUGAAGUGCUCCACCAGGUUUCUGUAUCCACAACAGACUUCUCCGCUCCCCACAAAAUGCCCCGUCCAUAGCGUCUCUCCUUCCUUUGGAACCAGAGUGGCACCUGUGGCCUCCUUAUUUUUAAUAAGUCCACCGAGGAGAGAAAGAGAAACAUUCCAAGAGAAGACAAUGCAAAAAAUAAACAAGAUUUUCCUCUUUCUAUGACUCAGAGAGAAUUCUCAAAGGAGAAUAUCCAAGGAUGUGUUUAUAUGCUACAGUGAAGAUUGGCUUUCCUUGUUUAUGAGAGGAAACAUAAAGGGUACCUACAGCCUUUUGUGUGAACGAGCUAACUUGUGCUGUUUAUUGUUUUUGCUUUUGCACUGCCUUUCUCAACUAUUAGAAUGGGACCUCUGGGCAGUAUCAUUGUCUUUCCCCUCCACAUAGCCACAGCACUUUAUAUGGUGAUUUGCAAAUAGUACAUGCAUAACAAAUGUUGGUUGCUAAUAAUAAAAUGUAAGUUUACAAUUUUUAU